rnacentral:rRNA from 1 species
CCUAGGGGGGCUGCAGUGGGGAAUAUUGGACAAUGGGCGAAAGCCUGAUCCAGCCAUGCCGCGUGUGUGAAGAAGGCCUUCGGGUUGUAAAGCACUUUCAGUGGGGAAGAAAGCCUUGGGGCUAAUACCCUCGAGGAAGGACAUCACCCACAGAAGAAGCACCGGCUAACUCCGUGCCAGCAGCCGCGGUAAUACGGAGGGUGCGAGCGUUAAUCGGAAUUACUGGGCGUAAAGCGCGCGUAGGCGGUCUGAUAAGCCGGUUGUGAAAGCCCCGGGCUCAACCUGGGAACGGCAUCCGGAACUGUCAGGCUAGAGUGCAGGAGAGGAAGGUAGAAUUCCCGGUGUAGCGGUGAAAUGCGUAGAGAUCGGGAGGAAUACCAGUGGCGAAGGCGGCCUUCUGGACUGACACUGACGCUGAGGUGCGAAAGCGUGGGUAGCAAACAGGAUUAGAUACCCGUGUAGUC